GACGAGUCAGAAACCGUUGAUGUAGGCGAAGGACAUGCGAAAGGUCCGGCGUAGAGGGUAAGACCCCCGUAGUCGAAACGUCAGCGGCUCGUUUGAGAGACACCCAAGUAGCACGGGGCCCGAGAAAUCCCGUGUGAAUCUGGCGGGACCACCCGCUAAGCCUAAAUAUUCCCUGGUGACCGAUAGCGGAUAGUACCGUGAGGGAAUGGUGAAAAGUACCGCGGGAGCGGAGUGAAAUAGUACCUGAAACCGUGUGCCUACAAGCCGUGGGAGCGUCGCGCAAGGACUUGUCCUUGCGUCGUGACUGCGUGCCUUUUGAAGAAUGAGCCUGCGAGUUUGCGGUGUGUUGCGAGGUUAACCCGGGUGGGGAAGCCGUAGCGAAAGCGAGUCCGAACAGGGCGAUUUUAGUAGCACGCUCAAGACCCGAAGCGGAGUGAUCUAGCCAUGGGCAGGUUGAAGCGGAGGUAAGACUUCGUGGAGGACCGAACCCACCAGGGUUGAAAACCUGGGGGAUGACCUGUGGUUAGGGGUGAAAGGCCAAUCAAACUCCGUGAUAGCUGGUUCUCCCCGAAAUGCAUUUAGGUGCAGCGUCGUGUGUUUCUUGCCGGAGGUAGAGCACUGGAUAGGCGAUGGGCCCUACCGGGUUACUGACCUUAGCCAAACUCCGAAUGCCGGUAAGUGAGAGCGCGGCAGUGAGACUGUGGGGGAUAAGCUCCAUGGUCGAGAGGGAAACAGCCCAGAGCAUCGACUAAGGCCCCUAAGCGUACGCUAAGUGGGAAAGGAUGUGGAGUCGCACAGACAACCAGGAGGUUGGCUUAGAAGCAGCCACCCUUGAAAGAGUGCGUAAUAGCUCACUGGUCUAGUGAUUCCGCGCCGACAAUGUAGCGGGGCUCAAGCGUACCGCCGAAGUCGUGUCAUUCACACAAUAGGGCCAACGCCUGUGUGGAUGGGUAGGGGAGCGUCGUGUGCCGGGUGAAGCAGCCGCGGAAGCGAGUUGUGGACGGUUCACGAGUGAGAAUGCAGGCAUGAGUAGCGAUUCACACGUGAGAAACGUGUGCGCCGAUUGACUAAGGGUUCCUGGGUCAAGCUGAUCUGCCCAGGGUAAGUCGGGACCUAAGGCGAGGCCGACAGGCGUAGUCGAUGGAUAACCGGUUGAUAUUCCGGUACCCGCUGUGAAGCGUCAAACAUCGAAUCCAGUGAUGCUAAGCCCGUGAAGCCGCCGGCUGAGUCUUCGGACGAGGUCGGAGUGGUGGAGCCGGUGACCCGAGCUGGUAGUAGGUGAGUGAUGGGGUGACGCAGGAAGGUAGUCCAUCCCGGGCGGUGGUUGUCCCGGGGUAAGGGUGUAGGACGUCAGGUAGGCAAAUCCGCCUGACA
rnacentral:rRNA from 1 species